UACAGAGGUCCCAAGCGUUGUUCGGAUUCAUUGGGCGUAAAGGGUGUGUAGGUGGCGCGCUAAGUCGGGUGUGAAAUUUCGGAGCUUAACUCCGAAACUGCAUUCGAUACUGGCGUGCUUGAGGACUGGAGAGGAGACUGGAAUUCUUGGUGUAGCGGUGAAAUGCGUAGAUAUCAAGAGGAACACCUGCGGCGAAGGCGGGUUGCUGGGCUGACACUGACGCUGAAGCGCGAAAGCCAGGGGAGCGAACGGG
rnacentral:rRNA from 1 species